AGGACGAACGCUGGCGGCGUGCUUAACACAUGCAAGUCGAACGGUAAGGCCUUUCGGGGUACACGAGUGGCGAACGGGUGAGUAACACGUGGGUGAUCUGCCCUGCACUUUGGGAUAAGCCUGGGAAACUGGGUCUAAUACCGAAUAUGACCAUGGGAUGCAUGUCUUGUGGUGGAAAGCUUUUGCGGUGUGGGAUGGGCCCGCGGCCUAUCAGCUUGUUGGUGGGGUGAUGGCCUACCAAGGCGACGACGGGUAGCCGGCCUGAGAGGGUGUCCGGCCACACUGGGACUGAGAUACGGCCCAGACUCCUACGGGAGGCAGCAGUGGGGAAUAUUGCACAAUGGGCGCAAGCCUGAUGCAGCGACGCCGCGUGAGGGACGACGGCCUUCGGGUUGUAAACCUCUUUCAGUAGGGACGAAGCGCAAGUGACGGUACCUACAGAAGAAGGACCGGCCAACUACGCGCCAGCAGCCGCGUAA
rnacentral:rRNA from 1 species